rnacentral:rRNA from 1 species
AGACCCGAAACCCGGUGAUCUAGCCAUGGGCAGGUUGAAGGUUGGGUAACACUAACUGGAGGACCGAACCGACUAAUGUUGAAAAAUUAGCGGAUGACCUGUGGCUGGGGGUGAAAGGCCAAUCAAACCGGGAGAUAGCUGGUUCUCCCCGAAAGCUAUUUAGGUAGCGCCUCGUGAAUUCAUCUCCGGGGGUAGAGCACUGUUUCGGCUAGGGGGCCAUCCCGGCUUACCAACCCGAUGCAAACUGCGAAUACCGGAGAAUGUUAUCACGGGAGACACACGGCGGGUGCUAACGUCCGUCGUGAAGAGGGAAACAACCCAGACCGCCAGCUAAGGUCCCAAAGUCAUGGUUAAGUGGGAAACGAUGUGGGAAGGCCCAGACAGCCAGGAUGUUGGCUUAGAAGCAGCCAUCAUUUAAAGAAAGCGUAAUAGCUCACUGGUCGAGUCGGCCUGCGCGGAAGAUGUAACGGGGCUAAACCAUGCACCGAAGCUGCGGCAGCGACACUGUGUGUUGUUGGGUAGGGGAGCGUUCUGUAAGCCUGUGAAGGUGUGUCGUGAGGCAUGCUGGAGGUAUCAGAAGUGCGAAUGCUGACAUAAGUAACGAUAAAGCGGGUGAAAAGCCCGCUCGCCGGAAGACCAAGGGUUCCUGUCCAACGUUAAUCGGGGCAGGGUGAGUCGACCCCUAAGGCGAGGCCGAAAGGCGUAGUCGAUGGGAAACGGGUUAAUAUUCCCGUACUUGGUGUUACUGCGAAGGGGGGACGGAGAAGGCUAUGUUGGCCGGGCGACGGUUGUCCCGGUUUAAGCGUGUAGGUGUGUGUUCCAGGUAAAUCCGGUUCACUUUAACACUGAGGCGUGACGACGAGGCACUACGGUGCUGAAGCAACAAAUGCCCUGCUUCCAGGAAAAGCCUCUAAGCAUCAGGUAACAUCAAAUCGUACCCCAAACCGACACAGGUGGUCAGGUAGAGAAUACCAAGGCGCUUGAGAGAACUCGGGUGAAGGAACUAGGCAAAAUGGUGCCGUAACUUCGGGAGAAGGCACGCUGACACGUAGGUGAAGUGAUUUACUCAUGGAGCUGAAGUCAGUCGAAGAUACCAGCUGGCUGCAACUGUUUAUUAAAAACACAGCACUGUGCAAACACGAAAGUGGACGUAUACGGUGUGACGCCUGCCCGGUGCCGGAAGGUUAAUUGAUGGGGUCAGCGCAAGCGAAGCUCCUGAUCGAAGCCCCGGUAAACGGCGGCCGUAACUAUAACGGUCCUAAGGUAGCGAAAUUCCUUGUCGGGUAAGUUCCGACCUGCACGAAUGGCGUAAUGAUGGCCAGGCUGUCUCCACCCGAGACUCAGUGAAAUUGAACUCGCUGUGAAGAUGCAGUGUACCCGCGGCAAGACGGAAAGACCCCGUGAACCUUUACUAUAGCUUGACACUGAACAUUGAGCCUUGAUGUGUAGGAUAGGUGGGAGGCUUUGAAGUGUGGACGCCAGUCUGCAUGGAGCCGACCUUGAAAUACCACCCUUUAAUGUUUGAUGUUCUAACGUGGACCCGUUACCCGGGUUGCGGACAGUGUCUGGUGGGUAGUUUGACUGGGGCGGUCUCCUCCUAAAGAGUAACGGAGGAGCACGAAGGUUGGCUAAUCCUGGUCGGACAUCAGGAGGUUAGUGCAAUGGCAUAAGCCAGCUUGACUGCGAGCGUGACGGCGCGAGCAGGUGCGAAAGCAGGUCAUAGUGAUCCGGUGGUUCUGAAUGGAAGGGCCAUCGCUCAACGGAUAAAAGGUACUCCGGGGAUAACAGGCUGAUACCGCCCAAGAGUUCAUAUCGACGGCGGUGUUUGGCACCUCGAUGUCGGCUCAUCACAUCCUGGGGCUGAAGUAGGUCCCAAGGGUAUGGCUGUUCGCCAUUUAAAGUGGUACGCGAGCUGGGUUUAGAACGUCGUGAGACAGUUCGGUCCCUAUCUGCCGUGGGCGCUGGAGAACUGAGGGGGGCUGCUCCUAGUACGAGAGGACCGGAGUGGACGCAUCACUGGUGUUCGGGUUGUCAUGCCAAUGGCACUGCCCGGUAGCUAAAUGCGGAAGAGAUAAGUGCUGAAAGCAUCUAAGCACGAAACUUGCCCCGAGAUGAGUUCUCCCUGAGACUUAAAGUCUCCUGAAGGAACGUUGAAGACGACGACGUUGAUAGGCCGGGUGUGUAAGCGCAGCGAUGCGUUGAGCUAACCGGUACUAAUGAACCGUGAGGCUUAACCUUACAACGCCGA